rnacentral:rRNA from 1 species
CCUACGGGGGGCAGCAGUGGGGAAUAUUGGACAAUGGGGGGAACCCUGAUCCAGCCAUGCCGCGUGUGUGAAGAAGGCCCUCGGGUUGUAAAGCACUUUCAGUGAGGAAGAACGCCUGGUGGUUAAUACCCAUCAGGAAAGACAUCACUCACAGAAGAAGCACCGGCUAACUCCGUGCCAGCAGCCGCGGUAAUACGGAGGGUGCGAGCGUUAAUCGGAAUUACUGGGCGUAAAGCGCGCGUAGGUGGCUUGAUAAGCCGGUUGUGAAAGCCCCGGGCUCAACCUGGGAACGGCAUCCGGAACUGUCAAGCUAGAGUGCAGGAGAGGAAGGUGGAAUUCCCGGUGUAGCGGUGAAAUGCGUAGAGAUCGGGAGGAAUACCAGUGGCGAAGGCGGCCUUCUGGACUGACACUGACACUGAGGUGCGAAAGCGUGGGUAGCAAACAGGAUUAGAUACCCGAGUAGUC